rnacentral:rRNA from 1 species
UACGGGGGGAGCAAGCGUUGUUCGGAUUUACUGGGCGUAAAGGGCGCGUAGGCGGCCACCGCAAGUCGGUUGUGAAAUCUCUGGGCUUAACCCAGAAAGGUCAAUCGAUACUGCGGGCUAGAGUGCAGAAGGGGCAACCGGAAUUCUCGGUGUAGCGGUGAAAUGCGUAGGAUAAUCGAGAGGAACACCAGUGGCGAAGGCGGCUCACUGGCCCGAUACUGACGCUGAGGCACGAAAGCGUGGGGAGCAAACAGG